rnacentral:rRNA from 1 species
GCAGCCGCGGUAAUACGUAUGGUGCAAGCGUUAUCCGGAUUUACUGGGUGUAAAGGGAGCGUAGACGGCUGUGUAAGUCUGGAGUGAAAACCCGGGGCUCAACCCCGGGACUGCUUUGGAAACUAUGCAGCUAGAGUGUCGGAGAGGUAAGCGGAAUUCCUAGUGUAGCGGUGAAAUGCGUAGAUAUUAGGAGGAACACCAGUGGCGAAGGCGGCUUACUGGACGAUUACUGACGUUGAGGCUCGAAAGCGUGGGGAGCAAACAGGAUUAGAUACCCC